rnacentral:rRNA from 1 species
AACGUACGCUGGCGGCACGCCUAACACAUGCAAGUCGAACGAAGUAGCAAUACUUAGUGGCAGACGGGUGAGUAACAUGUGGGUAUCUGCCCUUUGGCCUGGAAUAACACGAGGAAACUUGUGCUAAUACCGGAUAAGUCUUUACGGAGAAAGCUUUAUGCACCAUUGGAUGAGCCCGCACUUGAUUAGUUUGUUGGUGGGGUAAUGGCCUACCAAGACUGUGAUCAAUAGCUGAUUUGAGAGGAUGAUCAGCCACAUUGGGACUGAGACACGGCCCAAACUCCUACGGGAGGCAGCAGUGGGGAAUCUUGCACAAUGGAGGAAACUCUGAUGCAGCGAUGCCGCGUGAGUGAAGAAGGCCCUUGGGUUGUAAAGCUCUUUCGUCGGGGAAGAAAAUGACUGUACCCGAAUAAGAAGGUCCGGCUAACUUCGUGCCAGCAGCCGCGGUAAUACGAAGGGACCUAGCGUAGUUCGGAAUUACUGGGCUUAAAGAGUUCGUAGGUGGUUGAAAAAGUUAGUGGUGAAAUCCCAGAGCUUAACUCUGGAACUGCCAUUAAAACUUUUCAGCUAGAGUAUGAUAGAGGAAAGCAGAAUUUCUAGUGUAGAGGUGAAAUUCGUAGAUAUUAGAAAGAAUACCAAUUGCGAAGGCAGCUUUCUGGAUCAUUACUGACACUGAGGAACGAAAGCAUGGGUAGCGAAGAGGAUUAGAUACCCUCGUAGUCCAUGCCGUAAACGAUGUGUGUUAGACGUUGGAAAUUUAUUUUCAGUGUCGCAGCGAAAGCGAUAAACACACCGCCUGGGGAGUACGACCGCAAGGUUAAAACUCAAAUGAAUUGACGGGGACCCGCACAAGUAGUGGAGCAUGUGGUUUAAUUCGAAGAUACGCGCAGAACCUUACCAACACUUGACAUGUUCGUCGCGACUCUAAGAGAUUAGAGUUUUCGGUUCGGCCGGACGAAACACAGGUGCUGCAUGGCUGUCGUCAGCUCGUGUCGUGAGAUGUUGGGUUAAGUCCCGCAACGAGCGCAACCCUCACUUUUAGUUGCCAUCAUUAAGUUGGGCACUCUGAAAGAACUGCCAGUGAUAAGCUGGAGGAAGGUGGGGAUGACGUCAAGUCCUCAUGGCCCUUACGUGUUGGGCUACACACGUGCUACAAUGGUAUCUACAACAGGAAGCAAGACUGUGAGGUCAAGCAAAUCCUUAAAAGAUACCUCAGUUCGGAUUGCACUCUGCAACUCGAGUGCAUGAAGCUGGAAUUACUAGUAAUCGUGGAUCAGCGUGCCACGGUGAAUGCGUUCCCGGGUCU